ensembl:lncRNA
UUUCGUUCCCCCCUCGUUGGGCUGUUGGGGAGCGCAUGUGUGUGCGGUCCCGGCGCCUCCACAUGUUGUGUUACACAAUGUGCUAACAAGAUGGAGCGGGCCGCGGCCGCGUGAUGCGCGGUGACGUCUGUUCCUCUUUGUCCCCGGGCAGAGAGAGGGGCUCGGGGGGGGGCUGGCCACCUGCCCGGCUCCGUGGGGCAGAACCAACCGGUCCCUGGUGGAGGUUGCGGCAUCGCCGUGACAGCAUUGGGGGAAGAAAAAGGGAUGGGUUAGAAAAUAGCCAGGCGGUUGGGUAGGACCUACAAUACGUGUUUGGGUAGGACAUACACUAUGUGUUUGGGUAGGACCUACAGUGAGCAUUUGUGCAGGAUGUACACUGUGUGUUUGGGUCAGACCUAUAGCGAGGGUUUGUGUAGGACCUACAGAGCUGGAAGAGGCGGGAGGAGAACCUUCACAGGCAGCAGCACAACAACGGCUCUUUAGGAAAUGCAACUUCUGUUGUGCCCAUGGGGUGACACCAAGGCUAGGAAGGAAAACAGGGCAGUCCCCAGCAGCUCACACAGUGCCUUGGCUGAGCAUCCCCUGGUGGGCGUCCUGGCCUCCUUCCACCCCGAUGCCAGCCCGGUGCCAGCAUGAUACCACCCCAAUGCCACUGCAGCCCCACACUCCCCCAGCCAUCCCGAAUCAGGACCCGUCCCCACGCCAUGUCCCCAAGCCCUGCAGUGACGCAGACGAUCAGAACAAUCCUCCCGGUCCGCAGCGCCCUGGAUGCAGAUCCAUGUACUUAUAUGGCCUGCGAGAUGCGGUGGGACUAUGACCAGCGUCUGGAAAUCCAGAUAUGACUAGAUCCCUUCAUUAGUAAUUUCUUGUACAUGACUUUCUAGACCAUAGGGAUUUGUUAAAUUUGCAGGAGUGUUUUCUCACAGUGCCACGGACUGGCUGCUGCCAGCAUACAUUGGCUCGGAUCUGUCAGAUCCUGUCGCCUUAUAUGACCCGCCGUUAAUUCCGCUUUUCUUUGUAUCCAGCCCUCAGCGGGGAACUCCUCGAGCAGUCUCAGCGUGGAUCAUGCUAAAAUGGUUCCCCGGCCCUCCUGCCAUAAAACAACUGCCCACACAGUGAAAGGGGGAUGCGGGGGGUGGAAGGCAGCUCUCCCUCCCCGCCGCCCCGCUCCUCUCCAGACGCUUCCUCCAUCCCCGCGCUCCGGUGCCGAAGCAAAACUCAUCCUAUAAAACCCAUCCCACAAAACUCAUCCCUUCAAAACUCG